GACGAACGCUGGCGGCGUGCUUAACACAUGCAAGUCGAACGAAGAGCGAUGGAAGCUUGCUUCUAUCAAUCUUAGUGGCGAACGGGUGAGUAACGCGUAAUCAACCUGCCCUUCAGAGGGGGACAACAGUUGGAAACGACUGCUAAUACCGCAUACGAUCUAAUCUCGGCAUCGAGGAAAGAUGAAAGGUGGCCUCUAUUUAUAAGCUAUCACUGAAGGAGGGGAUUGCGUCUGAUUAGCUAGUUGGAGGGGUAACGGCCCACCAAGGCGAUGAUCAGUAGCCGGUCUGAGAGGAUGAACGGCCACAGUGGGACUGAGACACGGCCCAGACUCCUACGGGAGGCAGCAGUGGGGAAUCUUCCGCAAUGGACGAAAGUCUGACGGAGCAACGCCGCGUGAGUGAUGACGGCCUUCGGGUUGUAAAGCUCUGUUAAUCGGGACGAAAGGCCUUCUUGCGAACAGUUAGAAGGAUUGACGGUACCGGAAUAGAAAGCCACGGCUAACUACGUG
rnacentral:rRNA from 1 species